GUCUGCGGCCAUGCCACCCUGAACGAGCCCGAUCCCAUCUGAUCUCGGAAGCUAAGCAGGGUCGGGCCUGGUUAGUACUUGGAUGGGAGACCACCUAGGAAGACCAGGUGCCGUAGGCU
rnacentral:rRNA from 1 species